rnacentral:rRNA from 1 species
AUUGAACGCUGGCGGAAUGCUUUACACAUGCAAGUCGAACGGCAGCACGGACUUCGGUCUGGUGGCGAGUGGCGAACGGGUGAGUAAUGUAUCGGAACGUGCCCAGGCGUGGGGGAUAACGUAGUGAAAAUUACGCUAAUACCGCAUACGAUCUAUGGAUGAAAGCGGGGGAUCGCAAGACCUCGCGCGAUUGGAGCGGCCCAUCACAGAUUAGGUAGUAGGUGGGGUAAAGGCCCACCAAGCCAACGAUCUGUAGCUGGUCUGAGAGGACGACCAGCCACACUGGAACUGAGACACGGUCCAGACUCCUACGGGAGGCAGCAGUGGGGAAUUUUGGACAGUGGGCGAAAGCCUGAUCCAGCCAUUCCGCGUGCAGGAUGAAGGCCCUCGGGUUGUAAACUGCUUUUGUACAGAACGAAAAGGUUUCUACUAAUACUAGGAGCUCAUGACGGUAAUGUAAGAAUAAGCACCGGCUAACUACGUGCCAGCCGCCGCCGUAA